AUUAACACCAUCACACCUUAUAUUUUCGAUUUUCCUAGAAAGACCAAUCUUUUCUAUACUACUUUCCUUGCGAGAGAUAUGUCGCCAUUAAGUUAGGAUCUAUUCAGCAAUAUUAGAAGUUCAAAACUAUUAAUUAUUUUAGUAACUAUCAGCUAGCUGUUCAGUAUUAGAUAUUAGCUAUUUAAUAUAGAAGUGUUCACUUUGGAUUAUGGUUAAAUUGUAGAAAUAGUGGUAUAUGUUUUUGACCAUAGACAAAGCACUCACUUAACCUCUAACUCUGAAAGUUGGGAGGAUAACGUUUCAUUCCAUAAACUCCUCACCCUCUAAACAUUAGCAUAAAUAAUCUCUAAACACUGGUAUAAAUAUUAUACCAUUGAACAAUGUAAAUAAGAGUUGUGUAGUGUUUUAACUUAGAUUAAAA
rnacentral:misc_RNA from 1 species